CGGACGGGUGAGGAAUACAUCGGAAUCUACUCUGUCGUGGGGGAUAACGUAGGGAAACUUACGCUAAUACCGCAUACGUCCUACGGGAGAAAGCAGGGGACCUUCGGGCCUUGCGCUAUCAGAUGAGCCUAGGUCGGAUUAGCUAGUUGGUGAGGUAAUGGCUCACCAAGGCGACGAUCCGUAACUGGUCUGAGAGGAUGAUCAGUCACACUGGAACUGAGACACGGUCCAGACUCCUACGGGAGGCAGCAGGC
rnacentral:rRNA from 1 species